UUGAAGAACACAUACGACAAAGGAAAUCUUAUUCAGUUAGAUAUGGUAGAUUCAAAUGGGGUACAAAAAGAAUUAACUGCCGAGCAGUAUGAGGUAGGAAACUCUCAAGUACGGUUCUAAGGGAAGGAAUUAACCCACCUAUUCCGACCAGGGAGAACAGGCCAUUCGGAAGGGGGAUUCUGAAAUUGCGGAGGCUUGGUUUGACCAAGCCGCUGAGUAUUGGAAACAGGCUAUAGCAUUUACUCCUGGUAAUUAUAUUGAAGCGUAUAAUUAGUUGAAGAUCACUAGACAUUUAUCUUUCCUUUUUUUUCCAUAUUUCUCCUGUUCUUUCUUUGAUUGCCCAGAUUUUGAAUUGUUGAAUUGUUUUGUUGGUUAAAUUUAAGGUUUUUGUUUGUUCGAUUAGAGAAUCAUGUUUGAAAAAUUCUAGGCAGUUUGUAGGCCAUAAAGUUUAAAACUCUCUCACAUAUACAUACACAUACAAUCGUUUUAUUUAAUUCUCUGUAUUUUCAGUCUAUUUAAAUAUAUGUGUCUAUGUAUGAUAAAGUACUUGUGUAUAUAAGGAUGGAUUUAUGGAACAUUGUGAUAACUUCCCUCUUGUCAUGGUUAAUUAAUGGUUUAACUUCAACGAUCAUUAUUGUUUCAACAAACCUAGGUGUUGUGAGGAAGAUAAUUUGGACAAGCUAUUGUCAUGCAUGUUUAAGAGGCUUCUACAUUUGGUGGUAACACCUUUGACCCUGACUCAAUAGCAUGUUUAAGAUACUAUAAAUCAAUUUCGUUUGUUUUAACCACAAUUUCAUAUAUAUAUAAUUCUAGAUUUCAUUUUUUUGGUAGGGUGAUAAAACCUUGAAGUGAUGAUGAUUCUAAUUUCAUAAGGCUAACAUGGUGAAGAACAAGCUCUUAUCUUCACGUUUGUUUUCCUUUUUUCUUGACAGUAUCUUGAUUUUUAUACAUAUGGGCGACAAUACUAGAUCUAUGAAUUUCCAUGUGCAAUGUCCAACAUGUUCAUUUUUCAGUUGACAAUAAUGCCCUUGAAACUUCAUAUAGGUAACCCAUAUAAUUUGUUUCUAUAUCUCCAAGAAGGAAGAUGUCCAGAACAUAGUUGAAUGGAGGGUAUGUAUUUUCUAACCGUAAAUGUGGUUUUUUAUUUAAUCGGGUUAGACUAACAUCUCCUUAACCAUGCUGAUUUUGUAGAAUAAUUUGACGGUUUUGAGUAGUUUUAAAGAUCAAAUGUGGUGAAACACCAGGGGCUUCAACCGUUGUGGAUUUUCUUCUUCUUUCCCUGACCACAUGGAUUGAAUUGUAUUCCUCUAAACAUUGGUCAUUCAAAUUAAUCACUAAAAUGAGCAUAAUGAGAUUUUUAUACCAUAACAAAAGUGCAACUUUUACCAAUUUAGUAGUGAUGACCAUCUGUCUAAAGCAUUGUUUGUAGAUUUGUUUAUGAACUGUACACGCAUUUUUUUUUGUAUUUAGGGAAUAAAUGCUUAAGAAGUUCAUGUGGAUGUUGGGCUGUUUUAAAUAUAUCAAUUGAUUCCAAAUACACAUAAAGUAUGACAAGUGUUUAUCAUAUUUUUUUGCAUUCUAAUUGUUUUUGGUUGAAUCACACAUAGUUUCUCCUUAAUGAUGGUCGCUUGGGAUGAAAUUCAAGCAUUUUUAGUUAUCAGUUUGAAUGAACUCUGAAUGACAACAUCAAACCGGCGAUACAAGUUCAUUGUUAGCACCAAUAGCAAUACUCAUGUGUAAUAAGCUACAACAGUUGCCCUAUUGUCUAUAUAUGUUUUAACAACCUAGUCAAAUAUGCUUUUCUAAGCUUUCGAUAUUGGAUGGUCCAUCUGCAUCAAUCCACCCCUUGCGAAGCAAGGAUCAUCCCUCUAGUUAUUAAUUAUCUAGUUAUUAAUUAAGAGAUCUUUUUUAGUUAUAAAAUUUUAAUCGUUAAUUUAAAUAAAUACGUGAAAUUCUAUCACCUUAUAAUAUAUCUUUAUUUUAUUUUAUUUUUUAUUCUAAUGUUAUUAAUUUAAUAUAAUUAAAGUGUGAAAUUUAAAAUUUGAAAUAAAGAAUCAAUUAUCAGUUAUUAAUUUAAUGUAUUUAGAAUGGAAAAUUUAAAUUUUAAAAUUUAAAAUGAAGAAUUAAUAACUUAGAAUGGAAAAUUUAAAUUUUAAAAUUUAAAAUGAAGAAUUAAUAGGUUGACAUGUGACAUAUAAUAUUAAUGAGGAUUUCUAAUAUCGUGACACUUGUCAAUAGGAAAAUAAAUUUAUCCUCUUUAAUAAAUGAAUGUUUUUUUUUGCCAAAUGUCAAUCUCUCAUGAGUUUUAAUAGUUGUCAUUUUGUGAUAUUUUUGAAAUAAAUAUUAUCCACUUAUCAGUUUUUGGUUUGUUUUAAUUUUUAAAAUUAAAAUCAUAUACUUAUAUAUGUAAAGUAUUAAAUAUCAUAUAUAUGAUAUUAAAUUGUAAUAAAUACUUUUCUUCGUUUUUUAUUUUAAAGUUAUACAUUAAAAAAUAUUUUUUGUUUACACUCUAAUGUUUAAUAUUUUUUUAAAUCAACCCGUGGAAUACACGGGUCUCACAUCUAAUUCAUUUAUUAGAUUAGGGAAAGUAAUUGCUUAAUAAUUAAUUUCAAGAUUAAUUAUCAGUGUUGAAGAGGUUGAUGCUACGUCGAUACGUUGAGUCAAAUGUUUUGGUGCCAACAAAAUUAGUACAGAAUCUUAUGUAAACGCAUGAACGCGAUUAUUAUUUGAUUGAUAUGAAUGUGCGUCAUUACGUAGACUAUACAACAUAAUUGAAUGGGUUGUGGUGAUCCGGUUCAAAUACACGAUCUUUACACAACCAAAAUGCUCGAAAGCUCACCAGAACUCCCUUUAUGUGACCUCCGCGUUGUAGCAACUACUGGAUUAUCAUCUUCAUAAACAUCCAUC
rnacentral:lncRNA from 1 species